rnacentral:sRNA from 1 species
GCUGAUGAAAGUGGCUCUCAGCAGGAAGGGAAGUUGAAAAGGGGAUGAAGAGGGAAGGUAAUCUUCUCCUGAAGUCCAGCCAUCUCUGGCCAGAUUCUUCUCUGAUGUUACGUGUCAAGCUGUCCCUCUGAAGUGAAGCUGCUUCUCUCCAAUAUCUAACCAUAGUCACCAACGUCCAGCUGCUUCUCUUCUCUCUGCCAAAACAGGGAAAAUUGACCAAGAGAUUCACAAAUACAACACCCCAGGAUUCACUGGUUGCCUCUCCAGAGUCCAGUUCAACCAGAUCGCCCCUCUCAAGGCCGCCUUGAGGCAGACAAACGCCUCGGCUCACGUCCACAUCCAGGGCGAGCUGGUGGAGUCCAACUGCGGGGCAUCGCCACUGACCCUCUCCCCCAUGUCGUCCGCCACCGACCCCUGGCACCUGGAUCACCUGGAUUCAGCCAGUGCGGAUUUUCCGUAUAAUCCAGGACAAGGCCAAGCUAUAAGAAAUGGAGUCAACAGAAACUCGGCUAUCAUUGGAGGCGUCAUUGCUGUGGUGAUUUUCACCAUCCUGUGCACCCUGGUCUUCCUGAUCCGGUACAUGUUCCGCCACAAGGGCACCUACCAUACCAACGAGGCAAAGGGGGCGGAGUCGGCAGAGAGCGCGGACGCCGCCAUCAUGAACAACGACCCCAACUUCACAGAGACCAUUGAUGAAAGCAAAAAGGAAUGGCUCAUUUGAGGGGUGGCUACUUGGCUAUGGGAUAGGGAGGAGGGAAUUACUAGGGAGGAGAGAAAGGGACAAAAGCACCCUGCUUCAUACUCUUGAGCACAUCCUUAAAAUAUCAGCACAAGUUGGGGGAGGCAGGCAAUGGAAUAUUCUUGAGACUGAUCACAAAAAAAAAAAAAACCUUUUUAAUAUUUCUUUAUAGCUGAGUUUUCCCUUCUGUAUCAAAACAAAAUAAUACAAAAAAUGCUUUUAGAGUUUAAGCAAUGGUUGAAAUUUGUAGGUAAUAUCUGUCUUAUUUUGUGUGUGUUUAGAGACCCGUGGUAACAGGGCAAGUUUUCUACGUUUUUAAGAGCCCUUAGAACGUGGGUAUUUUUUUCUUGAGAAAAGCUAAUGCACCUACAUAUGGCCCCCAACAUUCUCUUCCUUUUGCUUCUAGUCAACCUUAAUGGGCUGUUACAGUAACUAGUUCAUGUUUAUAUACUAUUUCCUUUGAUGUCCUAUAAGUUGGAAAAGAAGGGGGCAAAGAGAACCUAUUAUUUGCCAGUUUUUAAGCAGAGCUCAAUCUAUGCCAGCUCUCUGGCAUCUGGGGUUCCUGACUGAUACCAGCAGUUGAAGGAAGAGAGUGCAUGGCACCUGGUGUGUAACGACACAAUCAGCACAACUGGAGAGAGGCAUUAAAGAACCAGGGAAGGUAGUUUAUAUUGGGGUUGUCGGUUUGAUUUUUCAUUGAAUUCUACAAGCUAAUAUUGUUCCACGUAUGUAGUCUUAGACCAAUAGCUGUAACUAUCAGCUGCAAUACCAUGGUGACCAGCUGUUACAACAGAUUUUUUUCCUGUUUUAUCUGAAACAUAUUGGAUUUACAUAUGUAUAAGCGCCUCAAUGGGGAAUUAGAGCCAGAUGUUAUGAUUUGUUUGCUCUUUUUCUUUUAUAGUUGUAGCAAAAAUAUGGAUAAUUUCUAGUGAAUGCAUAAAUUAGGUUGCGCUUCUUAUUUUGCUUUAAAUCUCUGGUAGUUUUUCCACCCCUGUGACAGAAUCCUAAUAGACAGUGUCCUGUAAAUGGACACAACACAAUGAAGUCAAGUUAUUAUUGCUGUUACUCUGGAUGAUAUGGAAAACACUGCCAUAUUUUAAAUCAACUACUCCACGUGUUUUUCCAUCCAAUCACACUGCUGUGAUUCAGGGAUCUUCUAAGACGGACACAUUUGAACCUCAAGUUCGUCACAAACCUGGUACCUGUUGCUUCCCAGAGGAUGGACAAGUGUAAUCACACCUCUUAGUUUAAUCUGAAACCUUGACCCAGUUAUUUAACAAAUACCUCAUUGAUUAUAUUUAAAAGUAAUACACUUCCUGUAAACAAAUGGGGACAAUGCAUCCAAAAAAUCUUUUUAAACAGAUUACACAAAAAUUAUUUCCAGAAAGGCUACCAUUUAUGAUCAUUAUAUUUCAAGCCUCUUAUACUUAAUAAGCACUUUCUAAAAAAUCUUGACAUCCCACCAUUCUGAGGAAUUCAAUAUGAUCACUUUUUCCUUCUUUGCCUGGGAGAGGUUAAGAGGAGGUUUCGAAGGUAUGAAGGUAUAGAUGCUAUUGUUCUGAUGGCCCGGCUGAAUAAAAUGGAAAUUCUAGUUUGUUAGAAUUAUGCAUUCUUUUUCAAGAUUCUCAGUGUGCCUAACUUAUUGGAGCACAUCAGUUUCUUGGGUAAUGGAAAACAUUACCUAGAGUUGCCAGUGGCACAUUACACCAGUACACAGCACAUUCCAAAGGAGACAUUGGACCAGUUAAUUCCCAUACAAGUCAAGGUAACAGAACAAAAGGGAAUCCUGAUGCCCUUUUACCAUUGCUGGCUGAGCUCAGGCACUGUCAUGGACACCCUUAAUUUUAAAAGGUUUUAAUCAUUCUUCUAUAAAAUACAUUUAAAAUGGAAAAAUACUUAAUAUCACUAAAUAUCAGAACAAUGUAACAUUUACAAAUGACAUAUUGAAAGCAAAGGCUGUUUUAUUUAGCCAAGAUGAUUACCAUUAGGAGUUACUUUAUGUAUUGUUGAAAGCAAAUUUUAAACAUGAUGUUUUAGAAGUGUUUCUGAUUUUUAAACCUGGUUUACAGGUAUUACUUCUGCACUUACCAAAUAAUGCCAGAUGGAAAUUUAUUAUUUCUUGCAAUUCCCGUGAUAGCUCUGUUCUUUAUGCAUUGUCUCAACACUUUCCCUUUUUUCCCAAAAUGAGUAGAGAAUUAAAGC